rnacentral:rRNA from 1 species
UACGGGGGGGGCAAGCGUUGUUCGGAAUUACUGGGCGUAAAGGGCGCGUAGGCGGUUUGCUAAGUUGAAUGUGAAAACUCUGGGCUUAACCCAGAGCCUGCAUUCAAUACUGGCAGGCUAGAGUUCUGGAGGGGAUAGCGGAAUUCCUGGUGUAGCGGUGAAAUGCGUAGAUAUUCGCAAGAACACCAGUGGCGAAGGCGGCUCACUGGCCCGGUACUGACGCUGAGGUGCGAAAGCGUGGGGAGCAAACAGG